rnacentral:lncRNA from 11 species
CCAUAAUUCUUUUUCUGUUUUUCUUUUUCCCCCUUGUGCUAUAAAGGUGGAUAAUGAACAUCUGCUCUGAAAGCACCCUGAUAUGAGAAAAACAGGUUCUGGCUGGAAUAUCACUUGGUAUCUCACCUGUGCAAUGUCUGCUUUUUAUGCCUAUUGUUAACAUCCUUGCUAAAAAUAAGAUGUACUGUGAGAUUUAUCUCAAGCUAUACUCUGACUUAGAGAAAGAACAUAAAAAUUGUUGAUGGAAUGAAGAAGUUGAAAGCAUAAAGAGACCUAGAGAUGAAGCAACUGAAACAGCAGCAGGCCAGGUGAAACCAGCUGUGCAAAGUGCAGAGAUCAAUGAAUUGCUGGUGAAAUGCCAUUCUGAAUAUGCAUUACAUUGAUUUAAUCCAC